rnacentral:rRNA from 1 species
AGAGUUUGAUCAUGGCUCAGAUUGAACGCUGGCGGCAGGCCUAACACAUGCAAGUCGAACGGUAACAGGAAGCAGCUUGCUGCUUCGCUGACGAGUGGCGGACGGGUGAGUAAUGUCUGGGAAACUGCCUGAUGGAGGGGGAUAACUACUGGAAACGGUGGCUAAUACCGCAUAACGUCGCAAGACCAAAGAGGGGGACCUUCGGGCCUCUUGCCAUCAGAUGUGCCCAGAUGGGAUUAGCUUGUUGGUGAGGUAACGGCUCACCAAGGCGACGAUCCCUAGCUGGUCUGAGAGGAUGACCAGCCACACUGGAACUGAGACACGGUCCAGACUCCUACGGGAGGCAGCAGUGGGGAAUAUUGCACAAUGGGCGCAAGCCUGAUGCAGCCAUGCCGCGUGUAUGAAGAAGGCCUUCGGGUUGUAAAGUACUUUCAGCGGGGAGGAAGGUGUUGUGGUUAAUAACCACAGCAAUUGACGUUACCCGCAGAAGAAGCACCGGCUAACUCCGUGCCAGCAGCCGCGGUAAUACGGAGGGUGCAAGCGUUAAUCGGAAUUACUGGGCGUAAAGCGCACGCAGGCGGUCUGUCAAGUCGGAUGUGAAAUCCCCGGGCUCAACCUGGGAACUGCAUUCGAAACUGGCAGGCUUGAGUCUUGUAGAGGGGGGUAGAAUUCCAGGUGUAGCGGUGAAAUGCGUAGAGAUCUGGAGGAAUACCGGUGGCGAAGGCGGCCCCCUGGACAAAGACUGACGCUCAGGUGCGAAAGCGUGGGGAGCAAACAGGAUUAGAUACCCUGGUAGUCCACGCCGUAAACGAUGUCUACUUGGAGGUUGUGCCCUUGAGGCGUGGCUUCCGGAGCUAACGCGUUAAGUAGACCGCCUGGGGAGUACGGCCGCAAGGUUAAAACUCAAAUGAAUUGACGGGGGCCCGCACAAGCGGUGGAGCAUGUGGUUUAAUUCGAUGCAACGCGAAGAACCUUACCUGGUCUUGACAUCCACNGUGAGACAGGUGCUGCAUGGCUGUCGUCAGCUCGUGUUGUGAAAUGUUGGGUUAAGUCCCGCAACGAGCGCAACCCUUAUCCUUUGUUGCCAGCGGUCCGGCCGGGAACUCAAAGGAGACUGCCAGUGAUAAACUGGAGGAAGGUGGGGAUGACGUCAAGUCAUCAUGGCCCUUACGACCAGGGCUACACACGUGCUACAAUGGCGCAUACAAAGAGAAGCGACCUCGCGAGAGCAAGCGGACCUCAUAAAGUGCGUCGUAGUCCGGAUUGGAGUCUGCAACUCGACUCCAUGAAGUCGGAAUCGCUAGUAAUCGUGGAUCAGAAUGCCACGGUGAAUACGUUCCCGGGCCUUGUACACACCGCCCGUCACACCAUGGGAGUGGGUUGCAAAAGAAGUAGGUAGCUUAACCUUCGGGAGGGCGCUUACCACUUUGUGAUUCAUGACUGGGGUGAAGUCGUAACAAGGUAACCGUAGGGGAACCUGCGGUUG